rnacentral:rRNA from 1 species
GCACUUUGUGCAUUGGGUAGGGGAGCGUUCUGUAAGCGGUUGAAGGUGUGUGGUAACGCAUGCUGGACGUAUCAGAAGUGCGAAUGCUGACAUGAGUAACGAUAAAGGGGGUGAAAAACCUCCUCGCCGGAAGACCAAGGGUUCCUGUCCAACGUUAAUCGGGGCAGGGUAAGUCGACCCCUAAGGCGAGGCCGAAAGGCGUAGUCGAUGGGAAACGGGUUAAUAUUCCCGUACUUCUUACAAUUGCGAUGGGGGGACGGAGAAGGCUAGGUGGGCCUGGCGACGGUUGUCCAGGUUCAAGUGCGUAGGCUUAAGAGUUAGGUAAAUCCGGCUCUUUUUAAGGCUGAGACACGACG